CCCAGGAGGAAGGAGCUCCUUGCUGUGGAAGAGAAGUGAAGCCUGAUGAAGGAGCAGUGUCUGACACGGCUGUGAGGUGAAGAAUCUCCGCCUUCCCCACCCCCAAAGCUGACCUGCAGUUCCAGGAAGGCAGACAUUUUUCCUGGCUCACCCUGGUGGUAUCUUAUGCUCCGCUUGCAACGCUGCAGCCAAUGAUACACAGGCUACUGAGGCAGGCUGCUGCUGAUGCACAAACCAACAUGGUCAUGAAUGCCCCAUGGGACUGCAAGCAUUGGCUGAGACAGCUUCAUCUGGCUAUGGUAGAUUCAUGGCAUCCAGCAUGAAAGGAGGCAUUCUGAGACCCGGCAGGACUGGCAAAUAAUGACUGGCCCCCCUCCUGUCCCUGCAGGGAGCAGCACAGGCCAGUGUGCUCUGUCAGCCACACAUUCUCAGUCAAACUCUGAAAGUCCAACUUACAGCCAAAUUCUUUUACUUAGAAAUUAUUAUUGUUUAGAUUGAUAUUUUUUUUUUUUUUUUUUCCUAUGGCUCACACACCAUUACGGUAGUUAAAAGAAAUUCCUGUUAUGUAGUAAUCAU